rnacentral:rRNA from 1 species
UACGAAGGGGGCUAGCGUUGUUCGGAAUCACUGGGCGUAAAGCGCACGUAGGCGGGUCGUUAAGUCGGGGGUGAAAUCCUGGAGCUCAACUCCAGAACUGCCUUUGAUACUGGCGAGCUUGAGUCCGGGAGAGGUGAGUGGAACUCCGAGUGUAGAGGUGAAAUUCGUAGAUAUUCGGAAGAACACCAGUGGCGAAGGCGGCUCACUGGCCCGGUACUGACGCUGAGGUGCGAAAGCGUGGGGAGCAAACAGG